rnacentral:rRNA from 1 species
AUGAAGAUUGACUGGUUUGAUCAGCUACGUGUAAUCAAGUGUUGUAUCGGAAUGCAGAUGGUAUUUUCACAUCAUGUGACCAUGAAGUUAGUGACUGGGUCUAUUGGUGCCGGAAGAUGGACAGGAGUUGACCAUGAAGAAUCUGAGAAAGUGGCGGAAAGUCUGAAAUUGUCGAAAGCUGAGAGAGUACAUGGUCGUAUAUUCUAUGGUGUUCAGUGCAUAUGGCAAUGUGCGGAUGACAAAUACAGAAGGAGGCAUAGUGCUAUAGUGCGGGACAUGUCAGAGACUAUCCGGGACAAAAGGGUGAGACAACUGCGAAUUUGA